UCCGUAGGUGGGCAAUUAAGUCAGAGGUGAAAUCCCACAGCUCAACUGUGGAACUGCCUUUGAUACUGGUUGUCUUGAGUUACAGUGAAGUAGAUAGAAUAUGUAGUGUAGCGGUGAAAUGCAUAGAUAUUACAUAGAAUACCGAUUGCGAAGGCAGUCUACUAACUGUAUACUGACGCUAAUGGACGAAAGCGUGGGGAGCGAACAGGAUUAGAUACCCUGGUAGUCC
rnacentral:rRNA from 1 species